rnacentral:rRNA from 1 species
AGGUCUGGGACAACCACUGGAAACGGUGGCUAAUACCGGAUGUGCCCUUCGGGGUGAAAGGUUAACUGCCUGUUGAUGAGCUCGCGUCUGAUUAGCUAGUUGGUGUGGUAAGAGCGCACCAAGGCGACGAUCAGUAGCUGGUCUGAGAGGACGAUCAGCCACACUGGGACUGAGACACGGCCCAGACUCCUACGGGAGGCAGCAGUGGGGAAUUUUCCGCAAUGGGCGAAAGCCUGACGGAGCAAUACCGCGUGAGGGAGGAAGGCUCUUGGGUCGUAAACCUCUUUUCUCAGGGAAGAACACAAUGACGGUACCUGAGGAAUAAGCAUCGGCUAACUCCGUGCCAGCAGCCGCGGUAAUACGGAGGAUGCAAGCGUUAUCCGGAAUGAUUGGGCGUAAAGCGUCCGCAGGUGGCUAUGUAAGUCUGCUGUUAAAGAGUCUAGCUCAACUAGAUAAGAGCAGUGGAAACUACAAGGCUAGAGUGCGUUCGGGGCAGAGGGAAUUCCUGGUGUAGCGGUGAAAUGCGUAGAGAUCAGGAAGAACACCGGUGGCGAAGGCGCUCUGCUAGGCCGCAACUGACACUGAGGGACGAAAGC